rnacentral:rRNA from 1 species
UAGGGAAUCUUCCACAAUGGACGCAAGUCUGAUGGAGCAACGCCGCGUGAGUGAAGAAGGUUUUCGGAUCGUAAAGCUCUGUUGUUGGUGAAGAAGGAUAGAGGCAGUAACUGGUCUUUAUUUGACGGUAAUCAACCAGAAAGUCACGGCUAACUACGUGCCAGCAGCCGCGGUAAUACGUAGGUGGCAAGCGUUGUCCGGAUUUAUUGGGCGUAAAGCGAGCGCAGGCGGAAUGAUAAGUCUGAUGUGAAAGCCCACGGCUCAACCGUGGAACUGCAUCGGAAACUGUCAUUCUUGAGUGCAGAAGAGGAGAGUGGAACUCCAUGUGUAGCGGUGGAAUGCGUAGAUAUAUGGAAGAACACCAGUGGCGAAGGCGGCUCUCUGGUCUGCAACUGACGCUGAGGCUCGAAAGCAUGGGUAGCGAACAGGACUAGAUACCCUGGUAGUCCAUGCCGUAAAACGAUGAGCGCUAGGU